UAAUACGUAGGGGGCGAGCGUUGUCCGGAUUUAUUGGGCGUAAAACGCUUGUAGGCGGCCACGCCGCGUCGGACGUGAAAUCUCCCGGCUUAACUGGGAGGGGUCGUGCGAUACGGGCGGGCUCGAGGCAGGUAGGGGGAAGCGGAAUUCCCGGUGUAGUGGUGGAAUGCGUAGAUAUCGGGAGGAACACCAGUGGCGAAGGCGGCUUCCUGGACCUGAUCUGACGCUGAGGAGCGAAAGCGUGGGGAGCGAUCCGGAUUAGAUACCCGGGUAGUCCACGCCGUAAACGGUGAGCACUAGAUGUCGGGGGUAUCGACCCCUCCGGUGUCGCAGCUAACGCAUUAAGUGCUCUGCCUGGGGAGUACGGCCGCAAGGCUA
rnacentral:rRNA from 1 species